AUCUUCUCAGAUGAAUUUAAUUCAUUCUCAUCCAGACAUUGUAGGGAAUGAAAUGCAGAUUCAUACUGCCCUGAGGCUCCUCAAACAAGCCUGGAUGGCAGAACUGCCUUGAUAUGCUGUCAGAUCCAACAGAGGCUACACACACGGAUUUCUUUCAAUCACCAGCUAAAUGAGGGAUUGUCUUUAAAAUGCCCUCUGUGUCUUUAACUAUGGAUUAUAUUAUGGAACUGUCCUUUUGAAAAUGAUGAUAUAACAGCCGGACAUGGUGGCUCAGGCCUGUAAUCCCAGCACUUUGGGAGGCCAAGCCGGGCAGAUCACUUGAGGCCAAGAGUUCAAGACCAGCCUGGCCAACAUGGCGAAACCCCAUCUCUAUUAAAAAUACCAAAACUAGCCAAGCAGGGUGGUGAGCACCUGUAAUCCCAGCUACUCGAAAGGCUGAGGCGCAAGAAUUGUUUGAACACAGGAG
rnacentral:lncRNA from 1 species